CUAAAAUCGAGAAAAAUCGAGAAAAAUUGAGAAAAAUCGAGAAAAAUCGAGAAAAAUCGAAAAAACUCGUUUAGGCGAUAAAAGCCAUAGAAUGAUUAUUCUCGAAACGAGAAUCGCUUCUCGAAAGAUAAAGUCGAACUAUCGAUUCGAUCAAUUUAUCGUUCGUGCAAUGGUGCAAGCGUGCAAUUCCGACAAAAAGAGUGCUUUUUAUUGUGAAUAAUACACGAUUAAAAAAUAAUGCGUGAUAACGAUUGAUUACAAUUAAUCGUGAGAUAGAAAUAAUUGUGUAUAGAACGAGAUCUAUCAAAUUAACAGUGCUUUCAUUAAACGUGCUUUGUUUGUUUUGUGAUAGAAUUGGGCACUUUCUAUUCAGGAUGAAUAUAUAAAAAAAAGUAGAAAUAAAUCUCAAAAAAUUGGCAGCGCUGCUCACAGGCAGCACGCGUAUGGAAUCUAUUCGUAUUGCCUUUACAACCGCCGUAAACAAAUUGGUUACACGUCUGACGCCCGGCGUCAUAAUACCAGCGUAACACAGAGCCCGGACAAGGGCCGGGAUCUUUCUCCAAGCGGCAUACGUCUGUCAGUUUUACUGUAAAUAGCAGAAAAACGAGCGUGAUACGUGCGGAUGUCGAAUGAAAGAAAUUGAAAUGGAUGAACAUACCUCGUCUCCUUCCUGGUUGCAAGCAUUGUUGAUGACAAGCGAUUUCCGUUGGGAAGUUAUUAUC